rnacentral:rRNA from 1 species
GGUAGUAAUGCCUAGGAAUCUGCCUGGUAGUGGGGGACAACGUUUCGAAAGGAACGCUAAUACCGCAUACGUCCUACGGGAGAAAGCAGGGGACCUUCGGGCCUUGCGCUAUCAGAUGAGCCUAGGUCGGAUUAGCUAGUUGGUGAGGUAAUGGCUCACCAAGGCGACGAUCCGUAACUGGUCUGAGAGGAUGAUCAGUCACACUGGAACUGAGACACGGUCCAG